rnacentral:rRNA from 1 species
AUUGAACGCUGGCGGCAGGCUUAACACAUGCAAGUCGAACGGUAACAGAAAGAAAGCUUGCUUUCUUUGCUGACGAGUGGCGGACGGGUGAGUAAUGCUUGGGAAUCUGCCUUAUGGAGGGGGAUAACUACGGGAAACUGUAGCUAAUACCGCGUAAUAUCUACGGAUUAAAGUAUGGGAUCUUCGGACCAUAUGCCAUAAGAUGAGCCCAAGUGAGAUUAGGUAGUUGGUGAGGUAAAGGCUCACCAAGCUGACGAUCUCUAGCUGGUUUGAGAGGAUGACCAGCCACACUGGAACUGAGACACGGUCCAGACUCCUACGGGAGGCAGCAGUGGGGAAUAUUGCACAAUGGGCGCAAGCCUGAUGCAGCCAUGCCGCGUGAAUGAAGAAGGCUUUCGGGUUGUAAAGUUCUUUCAGCGAUGAGGAAGGUGCUAUAUCUAAUAGGUGUAGCAAUUGACGUUAGUCGCAGAAGAAGCACCGGCUAACUCCGUGCCAGCAGCCGCGGUAAUACGGAGGGUGCGAGCGUUAAUCGGAAUAACUGGGCGUAAAGGGCACGCAGGCGGUUGUCUAAGUCAGAUGUGAAAGCCCCGAGCUUAACUUGGGAAUUGCAUUUGAGACUGGGCGACUAGAGUCCUCUAGGGAGGGGUAGAAUUCCACGUGUAGCGGUGAAAUGCGUAGAGAUGUGGAGGAAUACCGAAGGCGAAGGCGGCCCCUUGGAGAGAGACUGACGCUGAGGUGCGAAAGCGUGGGUAGCAAACAGG